rnacentral:lncRNA from 1 species
GCCCGGCCAUCUCACUUGCUCGUUUCCAGGAACUGGACACAGCCCCUGGGCAGGAUGGUCCCUGUCCCCGCCUGCUCUCCGCUCUUAAGUGGCUACUUAAUCUGUCGGUUCUCUGGCCGGGAGUUCGUUACAUCACGGAGCCAGCGAGCCCUGGAGGAGACACUGCCGCCAGGGAGGCAGAGUGGGGGGGGCAGGCACCGCCAGGCUGUGCCAGGCAGAGCCGGAGCCUGGCCCCUGCCUAGGCCUUGAGGAACAGGCCAUCCCAGCACACCCAGGGGACCAGGAACUGGGGCCCACACGUCCCCCGGAGGGGCUGCAGGAGCCUUCGAGGUCUGGUUCUCUGUUGGAGGUACAGGAGCCUAGGGCACUGAGACCCGGACUGCCUGCCACCCGGGCUGCAGUGCUGGCUUCCUGGGGAGGCCCGUGGUAUGCCUGGGAACCCGCUUUGAGGACCGCUCCACAGAGUGGGGACGUUUCCAAGGUCACGUGUGUGUGUGCCCAAGAGGACAUGGUCUCCCCGAGUCUUGGGCUCAGCCCUGGGCCUUUGCCUCUGAUGCUGCCCUGCUGGAGUCCCCAGGCCUGUACUCUGCCACCAGCCACAGCACCCUGGACCCCUCGCCUGACACCCAUUGUGUUUCUGGGGCGCCCGGCUCGCUGUCCACUGCAGGGCAGGACUGGACUCCCAGCGCGGUCCCUGCCUCAUCACCACAGCUGCCUGGGCACUCCCCCCAAUCUGCGUCCACUGGCCCUGCCUCUGGAUUGAACCAGAUUUGCUCGACAGAGCAGGUCACAGAUGGCUGAGCUCCAAGCACCACACUGAAUCCGCCCCAGUGACAGGACACGACGUGUUGCUGCACCUGUGCUGCCCCGGGUCCCCAUCCUGUCUGUCUCUUGGCACCAUUCCCUGGACCUCUCAGCGCUCAUAGGUUGAACAAUACGGUGCAGCCACUGUUUGUACGACACUGACACUGAACCAUCCAGGUGACUUCAGUGCACCGGGACACGUGUAUCUGUGCUCCGCUUUUUUUGUUUUUUGGUGCCUUGAAUCGAAGUCAGGACCUUGUGCUUGCAAGGCAGGCGUGGUGCCACUGAGCUACAUCCCCGGCCCUUCAGAAGGAGUUUGUGUGUGUGUGUGUGUGUGUGUGUGUGUGUGUGUGUGUGUGUGUGUGUGUGUGUGUGAGACUGGGGAUUGAACCCAAGGCCUUUAUUAUUUUUCAUUUUGACACAGGGUCUCACUAAGUUGCCUGGCUGGGCUAGAACUUUCAUUCUCCUAUCCUCCUGCCUCAGCCUCCUGGAGUUCUGGGACUGUGGGCGAAUGAAGGGCUUGAAUAUGCACAGGCUUUGGUGUCCGUGGGUCCUGGGCCUGGUCAUCCAUGGAUAGUUAGAAGCAACUGUGUCUGUCAUUUGAGGGUGUGUGGUGGAUCUCACCUGUCCCGACCCGCAGCCCAGCACCCUGAGGUAGAGCUCUGGGUCCUUCUUCCGUGGCCUCCCGGCCUGGCGCGGGAGGGGUCCGGAUGAGCAGGGCC